rnacentral:piRNA from 1 species
UGUGAUUUCUUUCCGGCAGGCUCAUGGUC